CACGUGAGUAAUCUGCCCCUGGCUUUGGGAUAGCCACCGGAAACGGUGAUUAAUACCGGAUACGACCACUUCCUGCAUGGGAUGGUGGUGGAAAGUUUUUCGGCCAGGGAUGUGCUCGCGGCCUAUCAGCUUGAUGGUGAGGUAAUGGCUCACCAUGGCUUCGACGGGUAGCCGGCCUGAGAGGGUGACCGGCCACACUGGGACUGAGACACGGCCCAGACUCCUACGGGAGGCAGCAGUGGGGAAUAUUGGACAAUGGGCGGAAGCCUGAUCCAGCAACGCCGCGUGAGGGAUGACGGC
rnacentral:rRNA from 1 species